AUGGGGGCCCGCAAGGGCAACCGGCGAACGGGUGCGUAACACGUGAGCAAUCUGCCGAUUUCUGGGGGAUAGCCGGCCCAACGGCCGGGUAAUACCGCAUAUGCUCACGGGGAGGAGUCUCCCUGUGAGGAAACCUUCGGGGGAAAUCGAGGAGCUCGCGGCCUAUCAGCUAGUUGGCGGGGUAAUGGCCCACCAAGGCGAUGACGGGUAGCUGGUCUGAGAGGAUGGCCAGCCACAUUGGGACUGAGACACGGCCCAGACUCCUACGGGAGGCAGCAGUGGGGAAUAUUGGACAAUGGGCGCAAGCCUGAUCCAGCAAUGCCGCGUGAGUGAUGAAGGCCUUAGGGUUGUAAAGCUCUUUCGGCGGGGACGAUGAUGACGGUACCCGCAGAAGAAGCCCCGGCUAACUUCGUG
rnacentral:rRNA from 1 species